UACGUAGGGUGCGAGCGUUGUCCGGAAUUAUUGGGCGUAAAGAGCUUGUAGGCGGUUUGUCGCGUCUGCUGUGAAAAUCCGGGGCUCAACCUCGGGCCUGCAGUGGGUACGGGCAAACUGGAGUGCGGUAGGGGAGAAUGGAAUUCCUGGUGUAGCGGUGGAAUGCGCAGAUAUCAGGAGGAACACCGAUGGCGAAGGCAGUUCUCUGGGCCGUAACUGACGCUGAGGAGCGAAAGCGUGGGGAGCGAACAGG
rnacentral:rRNA from 1 species